rnacentral:rRNA from 1 species
UACCAGCACCCCGAGUGGUCGGGACGUUUAUUGGGCCUAAAGCAUCCGUAGCCGGUUCUACAAGUCUUCCGUUAAAUCCACCUGCUCAACAGAUGGGCUGCGGAAGAUACUAUGGAGCUAGGAGGCGGGAGAGGCAAGCGGUACUCGAUGGGUAGGGGUAAAAUCCGUUGAUCCAUUGAAGACCACCAGUGGCGAAGGCAGCUUGCCAGAACGCGCUCGACGGUGAGGGAUGAAAGCUGGGGGGAGCAAACCGG